AGUGAACGCUGGCGGUAGGCCUAACACAUGCAAGUCGAACGGCAGCACAGUAAGAGCUUGCUCUUACGGGUGGCGGGUGGCGGACGGGUGAGGAAUACAUCGGAAUCUACAUUUUCGUGGGGGAUAAUGUAGGGAAACUUACGAUCGUACCGCAUACGACCUAGGGGUGAAAGCAUGGGAUAUUCGGAGCUUGCGGGAUUGAAUGAGCGGAUGAUGGAUUAGCUAGUUGGCGGGGUAAAGGCCCACGAAGGCGACGAUCCGUAGCUGGUCUGGGUGGACGAUCGGCGACACGGGAACUUAGACACGGUCCAGACUCCUACGGGAGGCAGCAGUGUGGAAUAGUGGACAAUGGGCGCAAGCCUGAUCCAGCCAUACCGCGUGGGUGAAGAAGGCCUUCGGGUUGUAAUGCCCGUUUGUUGGGAAAGAAAAGCAGCAGGUUAAUACCCCGCUGUUCUGACGGUACCCAAAGAAUAAGCACCGGCUAACUUCGUG
rnacentral:rRNA from 1 species